UCCUCCCCCCAACUAAAAGUUACAUUGUCCUCAAUGCAUAAACAUGUCUCCAAAAAUAAAGAAGGGGAAAGGUAUCACCUGAGUGCUGCAGUGAAUUAACUUAAGUUCGAAGGAUGAGAAGCCUGAAAGAACUCAAUGGAUGGAUAAUGCAAGGAGUAAAAAAUAAACCAAAAAAAAAAUGAAUGCAAAUCAUACUAAAAAGAAAAAUCUAAAACUAAUAUACAGAAAAAUAAAGUGAAGGAUGAACCUGAGUGAAGCUAAGGGUGGUAAACAGGGUCUGCAAGGGAAAUUUCUUCCACUGCAGGCACCGAUUGCCCAAAAGCUAUUUUGAGACGCUGUCCAUUCACUUUGAACACUCUACCAUCAUUAGGAUCCUCAAUUUCAACCGCUCCAUUUUCAAAGACUCGUAGUACCACAAAGGGACCAGUCCACCUAGAACGAAGUUUUCCAGGAUGCUUGUGGAGUCUAGAAUCAUACAGGUAUACUUUUUGAUUUGGUUCAAAAGUUUUUCUCAAAAUGUUUUUAUCAUGAAAAGCUUUCAUUUUUUCCUUGUAGAUUCUAGAACUCUCAUAGGCCUCAUUUCUCAACUCCUCUAACUCAGCCAACUGAAAUUUCCUAAGCUUACCUCCCUCCUCUAGGUCGAAAUUAAAAUGUUUAAUAGCCCAAUAUGCUCGGUGUUCAAGCUCCACAGGUAAA
rnacentral:lncRNA from 1 species